CUGAAGAUUAACUGAACCAAUUAGAUUUCCUCUCAGAUAUUUAAAAAUGUGUGACCCAAGAAGAGUUCAGCAUUUUUGAAGAAACUGAACAGAGACAUUGCAAGACAGCAAAACUCUUGAAGGAAGCAAAAGCCAAGGAUGACUUAAAGCCAUCAACAGAACUCGUAUAGAACCUGCACCUCAUCUGGGUCACACAUCAUGCUAAGAAGUUUGGAUUUUACCCUAACAUCAGGCUUCCAGAUUGGAUAACAGUGGAGAAAAGAUAAUAGUGAAGAUAAAUUGAAUUAUACAUUUCCUCUUUAUCUGAAGAAUCUGACUUCUUUUUCAUAUUUUAUAAUUUAAUAAGGAAGAA